GCGGCGGCACGUAGGACGGAUCUCUUGGAUUUACCUGUAACGAGGAGCGGCGCACCCCAGGAGCCCCGGCAGCACCCCAGGAGCCCCGGCAGCACCCCAGGAGCCCCGGCAGCACCCCAGGAGCCCCGGCAGCACCCCAGGAGCCCCGGCAGCACCCCAGGAGCCCCGGCAGCACCCCAGGAGCCCCGGCAGCACCCCAGGAGCCCCGGCAGCACCCCAGGAGCCCCGGCAGCACCCCAGGAGCCCCGGCAGCACCCCAGGAGCCCCGGCAGCACCCCAGGAGCCCCGGCAGCACCCCAGGAGCCCCGGCAGCACCCCAGGAGCCCCGGCAGCACCCCAGGAGCCCCGGUACGCAACCCUCCCCCGGGAACCCCGGCAGCACCCCGGGAACCCCGGCAGCACCCCAGGAGCCCCGGCAGCACCCCAGGAGCCCCGGUACGCAACCCUCCCCCAGGAGCCCCGGCAGCACCCCAGGAGCCCCGGCAGCACCCCAGGAGCCCCGGCAGCACCCCAGGAGCCCCGGCAGCACCCCAGGAGCCCCGGCAGCACCCCAGGAGCCCCGGCGCCACCCUCCCCCCGGAGGGGGAUCCCGGCGCGCCACCCUCCCCCCGGAGGGGGAUCCCGGCGCGCCACCCUCCCCCCGGAGGGGGAUCCCGGCGCGCCACCCUCCCCCCGGAGGGGGAUCCCGGCGCGCCACCCUCCCCCCGGAGGGGGAUCCCGGCGCGCCACCCUCCCCCCGGAGGGGGAUCCCGGCGCGCCACCCUCCCCCCGGAGGGGGAUCCCGGCGCGCCACCCUCCCCCCGGAGGGGGAUCCCGGCGCGCCACCCUCCCCCCGGAGGGGGAUCCCGGCGCGCCACCCUCCCCGGCAACAACCUGUUGCCAUGUAUUGCGAUUUGUAUCAGUCACAAGCACACAACCCCUUCUAGUAUUAAUGAUGUUUAAAACGUUCUACACGUACGGCGGACCGCAUCCGUCGCAAGCACGCGCAUAUAACCCCCAAAUGCACCAUGAUGAGAAGCACAGCCACGCGUCAAAAAACUUUAAAAACAUCGUUAUCCAAUAUUAAAAACCACACCGAAAUUUACACAGGUGGCACGUUACCGUGUUAGUGUCACCCACUGUACACAAGGCGUGUCGUAUAUGUAGUAUAGGUAUUUGAUGAGGCGGAAGCAUAUCCCGCUUCCAGCGAACGGAAAUAAGGAUCAUCCGUUCCAGCAUUUAUUCAAAGGGGGCACAGAGGGUUCACAUUGUUUAGAGAGAGUUUUUCUUAGUAACCAUUCCAUACUUUGGCAGUAUUGGCCUACGAUUUGGGCGACGUUUCAGGCUGGUCUAUUCUCCGUCCACUUUUCCCCGGCUAUUCUAUCCCAGCAUAGGCUCUUGAAAUAAACAAUGUUUACCGAGUAAAA
rnacentral:misc_RNA from 1 species